rnacentral:rRNA from 1 species
AUGAACGCUAGCGACAGGCUUAACACAUGCAAGUCGAGGGGCAACGGGGGUGAAAGCUUGCUUUCACCUGCCGGCGACCGGCGCACGGGUGAGUAACACGUAUGCAACCUGCCCUCCACUGGGGGAUAAGCGGAAGAAAUUCCGUCUAAUACCGCAUAACAACCCGAGGGGACAUCCCCUUGGGUUUAAAGGAGCGAUCCGGUGGCGGAUGGGCAUGCGGCGCAUUAGCUAGACGGCGGGGUAACGGCCCACCGUGGCUACGAUGUCUAGGGGUUCUGAGAGGAAGGUCCCCCACACUGGAACUGAGUCACGGUCCAGACUCCUACGGGAGGCAGCAGUGAGGAAUAUUGGUCAAUGGUCUGACGACUGAACCAGCCAUGCCGCGUGAAGGUCACGGCCCUAUGGGUCUUAAACUUCUUUUGCGAGGGAGCAAUAAGGCGCACGUGUGCGUCGAUGAGAGUACCUCGCGAAUAAGCAUCGGCUAACUCCGUG